rnacentral:lncRNA from 1 species
CUCUUUCGAGAUGCUGUAUGUCUUUGAGGAGAUAAGGAGAAGAGGCUUGAAUAUUAAGGUGACAAGCAGUUUACAUCUCUCAUAUAAUAUCAAGUCGGAGAAACACAAGCACACACGCACACACUCAACCACACACACACACACACACACACACAUAUGCAUAUGAUCACAUACACUUGCACACAAACACAUGUACACAUACACAAAUGCAGAAAUGCACACACUAAGUCAAACAUAUACUCUUUACUCUUUUACUUGUUUCAGUCAUUUGACUGUGGCCAUGCUGGAGCACCGCCUUUAGUCGAGCAAAUCGACCCCGGGACUUAUUCUUUGUAAGCCCAGUACUUAUUCUAUCGGUCUCUUUUUGCCGAACCGCUAAGUAACGGGGACUUAAGCACACCAGCAUCGGUUGUCAAGCAAUGCUAGGGGGACAAACACAGACACACAAACACACAUACACAUAUAUAUAUAUAUAUAUAUGACAGGCUUCUUUCAGUUUCCGUCUACCAAAUCCACUCACAGGCAUUGGUCGGCCCGGGGCUAUAGCAGAAGACACUUGCCCAAGAUGCUAUUACAAAAGGCUUGCUUACAUUCUCUCUUGACCAAAUGUCAAGGCCUUCAUUGGUCAGGGGUUCUGUUAGGAGCACUUGCAUUCACACAUAAUACGGCGGGCUUCUUUCAGUUUCCGUCUACCAAAUCUGCUCACAAGGCUUUGACCGACCUGAGUCAUUUGACUGCGGCCAUGCUGGAGCACCGCCUUUAGUCGAGCAAAUCGACCCCAGGACUUAUUCUUUGUAAGCCCAGUACUUAUUCUAGCGGUCUCUUUUUGCUGAACCGCUAAGUGACAGGAACGUAAACACCCCAGCAAUGCUAGGGGGACAAACACAGACACACAAACACACACACACACACACACAUAUAUAUAUAUAUAUAUACACAUAUAUACGACAGGCUUCUUUCAGUUUCCGUCUACCAAAUCCACUCACAAGGCUUUGGUUGGCCCAAGGCUAUAGUAGAAGACACUUGCCCAAGGUGCCACGCAGUAAGACUGAACCUGGAACCAUGUGGUUCGUAAGCAAGCUACCUACCACACAGCCACUCCUGCGCAUCUCUGGGUGUUGUUCUGUCUCAGCUUCCAGCUGUUCUUUCACCAUUUGGAUAAAUCAUAUCUAAGAUGUGAUCUAUCGCCUAUGAACCUCUUUGAUUAAUAUUUUAUUCUAGUGGACUGCUCCCGUAGCCAUUUCUUGAUUCGACAGUCAUUUGGAAUGCUCACAGCAGCCAUAUUCCUACCGCUCUAUGUCACGCUGGUGAGACCCAUAUUGGAGUACGGGAUUCAAGCCUCUUCUCCUUAUCUCCUCAAAGACAUACAGCAUCUCGAAAGAGUCCAGAAGCUGGCUACCCGCAUGGUUCCUGGUCUCAAAAAUUUGUCUUAUGAAGAAAGGCUGAAGACGCUCGACCUUUAUUCUCUAGAAAAACGACGAUGCCGUUGUGAUCUCAUUCUUGCUCACAACAUCAUAAGUAGAAAGUGUAACCUUUCGAAAGAGCUGUUCUUCACUCCUGCUCCAGAGCGUCGACUGCGGGGUCACUCUGAAAAGCUCUAUCUGUGAUGAUUUCAUCUCAAUCGAAGGAGAGGAGCUUUCUCCGUCCGGGCUGCGGAUCCGUGGAAUAAGCUGCCGGACAAGAUAGUGAAGAUGCCGAUGACCGUUCAUUUCAAAGUCUCUCUUGACCACAAGUGGUCUGAACUCUUUACAUGAACACCACCCUGUACAUAACUCCAUGUCCCCCUACAUACCUUGCUUUUUGCUUUUGAGCCAAAAAAUUAACUAAUUAACUAACUAACUAACUAACUAAGAUGUUGAGCAAAAUACUUAGUAUAUAAUUUUGUAUGUCUUUACUCCUCAAAUCCUACUAAGGCAUUGGUAAAAUAACUAAGCAGUUGAGUCGAGCACCUACUGAAACUGCAGGCUUUGUUCCAAAAUUUGAAACCGAUAUUUGAUCUGUCCUUUUGCAUUCAGAGUUCAACUCCUGCUGUGGUCAACUUUUGUCUUUCACUCCUCUCUGGUACUCAUUAAAAUAAUGUAACAUUUAACUCAUGGAGUUGUUCUUAUUGACAAACAUCUCCCCUUAAAAUUUCACUCCUGGUGAGCAACCUUCUUCUUCUUCUUCUCCUCCUCCUCCUCUCCUUCUUCUAUCCUCCUCCCCCUCUGAUUAUUAUUAUUAUUAUUAUUAAUAAGCCUUCUCGUGGCUCAGUGGUUAGAGCGUCGAGCUUACGAUUUUGAGGUUGUGAGUUCAAAUCCCGGACCGGGCUGCGUGUUGUGUUCUUGAGCAAGGCACUUUAUUUCACGUUGCUCCAGUUCACUCAGCUAUAGAAAAGUGAAGGCGCAUGGCUCAAUGGUUAGAGCGUCGAGCUUACGAUCGUGAGUUGUGAGAUCAAAUCCUGGACCGGGCUGCGUGUUGUGUUCUUGAGCAAGCACUUUAUUUCACAUUGCUCCAGUUCACUCAGCUAUAGAAAAGUGAAGGCGCAUGGCUCAAUGGUUAGAGCGUCGAGCUUACGUGAGUUGUGAGAUCAAAUCCUGGACCGGGCUGCGUGUUGUGUUCUUGAGCAAAGCACUUUAUUUCACAUUGCUCCAGUUCACUCAGCUAUAGAAAAGUGAAGGCGCAUGGCUCAAUGGUUAGAGCGUCGAGCUUACGAUCGUGAGUUGUGAGAUCAAAUCCUGGACCGGGCUGCGUGUUGUGUUCUUGAGCAAAGCACUUUAUUUCACAUUGCUCCAGUUCACUCAGCUAUAGAAAUGAGUUGUGACGUCACAGAUGCCAAGCUGUAUCGGCCCCUUUGCCGUUCCCUUGGACAACAUCGGUGACAUGGAGAGGGGAGGCCGGUAUGCAUGGGCGACUGCUGGUCUUCCAUAAAACAACCUUGCCCAGACUUGUGCCUCAGAGGGUAACUCUCUAGGUGCAAACCCAUGGUCAGUGUCUGACCGAAGGGGGUCAUAGUCAUAGAUAGACUUGUAUAUUUGUAAGCCAAAGGAAUUGAGAAGGAGGGAGGUGCCCUUUGCUGCAAAGGGUGACCAAAGAUGUAUGGGGUCCCUUGGUUGUGUCCCUGAGGAUUUAUCGUUAAAUUUUUUUUGUUAAUUGUUAUUGUUUCAUUUCAUUUCAUACACAAAUAUUGUGCUAAUCUCCACUUGUUCUUUGCGUCCUUUUUUUGCUUUGAGUUUUAGCUUCUUUGGCCAUCAUCAUCAUCAUCAUCAUCAUCAUCAUCAUUUAGCGUCCGCUUUCCAUGCUAGCAUGGGUUGGACGAUUCAACUAGGGUCUGGGAAGCCAGAAGGCUGCACCAGGCCCAGUCUGAUCUGGCAGUGUUUCUACAGCUGGAUGCCCUUCCUAACGCCAACCACUCCGAGAGUGUAGUGAUGCUACAUAUAUAUAUAUAUAUAUAUAUAUAUCAUCAUAUCAUCGUUUAAAGUCCGUUUCCCAUGCUAGCAUGGGUUGGACGGUUCAACUAGGGUCUGGGAAGCCAGAAGGCUGCACCAGGCUCCAGUCUGAUCUGGCAGUGUUUCUACAGCUGGAUGCACUUCCUAACGCCAACCACUCCGAGAGUGUAGUGGGUGCUACAUAUAUAUAUAUAUAUAUAUAUAUAUCAUCAUAUCAUCGAUUAACGUCCGUUUUCCAUGCUAGCAUGGGUUGGACGGUUCAACUGGGGUCUGUGAAGCCAGAAGGCUGCAUCAGGCCCAGUCUGAUCUGGCAGUGUUUCUACGGCUGGAUGCUCUUCCUAACGCCAACCACUCCGUGAGUGUAGUGGGUGCUUUUUACGUGCCACCGGCUCAGGUGCCAGGCGAGGCUGGCAUCGGCCACGGUCGGAUUGGUGUAUUUUAUGUGCCACCUGCACGGAAGCCAGUCGAGGCGGCACUGGCUUCGGCCAUCAUUGUAAUUAUCAUCAUCAUCAUCAUCGUUUAACGUCCGUUCCCCAUGCUAGCAUGGGUUGGACGGUUCGACCGGGGAUCUGGGAAGCCAGGAGGCUGUGCCAGGCUCCAAUCUGAUCUGGCAAUGUUUCUACGGCUGGAUGCCCUUCCUAACGCCAACCACUCCGUGAGUUUAGUGGGUGCUUUUUACGUGCCACCUGCACAGGUGCCAGAUGGAGCUGGCAAACGGCCACGGACGGAUGGUGCUUUUUACGUGCCACCGGUACGGGAGCCAGGCGAGUCUGGCAACGGCCAUGAACGGAUGGAUCUUUUUACAUGCCACCAGCACGAGGCCAGUCGGGGCGGCGCUUGCAGCGGCCACAAACGGAUGGUGGUGCCAGACAAGUCUUGCAAACGGCCACGAAUGGAUGGUGCUUUUUUUACGUGCCACCGGUACGGGGGCCAGGCGAGGCUGGCAACGGCCACGAACGGAUGGUGCUUUUUACGUGCCACCGGCUCGAGGCCAGUCUAGGCGGCGCUGGCAACGCCCACAUUCGGAUGGUUCUCUUACGUGCCACCGGCACUGGUAAAUCGGCUGCAAUUUCCAUUGAUCGAUUUCGAUUCUGAAAUAUAUUUUUUUAAUUUUAUUUUAUUUUAUCUAGUUUCAGCUUACGAGCUGUGGCCAUGCUGGGGCACCACCAUUUGGUGUUGCUACAUGGUUUUACUUCACGAAUGCCUUUUAGCAACUGCCAUUUGGUGCAUGAGAGAGUUCGAUGCAGCUGCCCUCAUCUGCACCUCCUGCCGUGAAGUUGGUUCAUCUGAGAUACCUGACAGGAAGAGAUCCAGUUUCAUUUUAAAGACAUCUGCAUCCACCUCAUGCAGGUCUCUUAGGUUCUUCGGGAGGAUAUUGAAGAGCUGUGGGCCUCGGAAGCCCAGGCUAUCACAGUAUCUUGUCCUACAUCUUGAUGGCAAAUUUGGAGUCCUUGGCACCAUGCAGUGGCACCCAGUUCUGGCAUUUGUGUAACUCUCGAUGCCAAAGUUUGGGACAAGUCCCUCCAGGAUCUUCCAGAUGAAUAUUAUGGCAUAUCUUUCUCUAUAUAGAUAGAUUGAUAGAUAGAUAGAUAGACAUCUGCAUCCACCCCAUGCAGGUCUCUUAGGUUCUUCGGGAGGAUAUUGAAGAACUGUGGGCCUCGGAAGCCCAGGCUAUCACAGUAUCUUGUCCUACAUCUUGAUGGCAAAUUUGGAGUCCUUGGCACCAUGCAGUGGCACCCAGUUCUGGCAUUUGUGUAACUCUCGAUGCCAAAGUUUGGGACAAGUCCUUCCAGGAUCUUCCAGAUGUAUAUUAUGGCAUAUCUUUCUUGCCUACGCUCAAAGGAAUAUAGUUUUAAUCUCUUGAGUCUUUCCCAGUAGCUUAUAUAAUAAAGAAAAUAUUAUUACUCGGUGUUAUAUUUAUCUCACAUUUUUUUUUCUUUUUCACUCUACAGAAGCUGCUACACAAAUACAGUAUUCAAUUGGAUUUUAACUUAACAUCGUGGGAUUGAUCGAAUAUUUCUCAAGUGUGGAGGAAUCUGGAAUUUCUUUUUACAAACUUAUUGCUUAAAUACUACAGACGCAGAUAAUAUCAACCGAAUUUUUCUUCGAGGAUUUACAUGGCGCAGACCAGGGUAAGUUUUUGAUCAUUUCCUGCUUCACACUGAUAAAAUAUAUAGGAUCUGAUGAAAUAAUAGGGUGGCGAGCUGGCAGAAACGUUAGCGCGCCGGGCGAAAUGCGUAGCCGUAUUUCGUCUGCCGUUACGUUCUGAGUUCAAAUUCCGCCGAGGUUGACUUUGCCUUUCAUCCUUUCGUGGUCGAUAAAUAAAGUACCAGUUUUGCACUGGGGUCGAUAUAAUCGACUUAAUCCGUUUGUCUGUCCUUGUUUGUCCCUUCUAUGUUUAGCCCCUUGUGGGUAGAAAAGAAAUAGAUAUAGGAUCUUUAAUAUUUGGCUCACUUUUUUUCUGUUCUUUUAAUUUUGCUUCCCUUUGCAACCUGCAAAGAACAUGCAUUGUAACAUUCACCAUUUGACACCAUAACUUUACAAGAUCUCAGACAGCUACCAAACUCUAACUUAACAUAUGCUACAUACCAGUGGUUCCCAGCUGUGGUCCAAAAAGAUCUUGGUCGGGUUCUCCCAAGCAUAAGAGUAAAUUGGCCAUCCAUAGUGGAUCUUUUCUGCUUCACUCACACUUUUCAGGUCUCCAAAUUUUGUUCAAAUUGUUUUCAGAAUUGGUUUAGUGAUGUAAGUUUUAUAUUCUAAUUAUGAAAAUAAAAUUCCUUUUUGCUAUGAAUUAGCCGCCUCCACUGGCU